AUUUUCUAGAUAUACAGCAUCACAAAGCAAAGAACAAUUUCAUACAUUUAUCUUAUGAUGAUGAUGAUGAUGAUGAUGAUGAUGAUGAUGCAUGAACUGAUUACAAUGUUUUUUAAUGGCACUAAAAUACGAAAAAGAGCAAUGAGCGUUUGGUGAUCUAGAGAGUAGCAAGAGGACAUUCACCAGCCUUCAAUGACCUAACCAGCUGUCGUGGGGAGCAUUAACAUACAUCGCAUGUUUUACAUAAGAAAAAAUUCAUUUGGACCCCUAUCUUGGGAUGUAAAUAGACUUGAUACCAUUUCCUUUUACCACCGGAAGUCUCGGAAGUUUUUCUUCACCAAGUAACCCAGCGACUAAGUUCAAAGACACUUAAAAGUUCCCGUCAAGGUCAUUAAAGAAUUAAUCAUGAGAAAAAUGCGUAACGUUGCACGUUAAAUAUUGUUCGAGUUUGCUCAUAAUUAUAAAUAAUUCUUCUACAUGCAUAAUUAAUACUAAAAUUAUUAUA